rnacentral:rRNA from 1 species
AACGAACGCUGGCGGCGCGCCUAACACAUGCAAGUCGAACGAGAAUCCGGGGCAACCCGGUAGUACAGUGGCGAACGGGUGAGGAAUGCAUGGGUAACCUGCCCUUGAGAAUGGAAUAACCCGCUGAAGGGUGAGCUAAUACCAUAUACGCUUGUUGUCUCACGGGAUAGCAAGGAAAGCCAAGCCGAGGGUUUGGUGCUCAAGGAUGGGCUCAUGUCCUAUCAGCUUGUUGGUAGGGUAACGGCCUACCAAGGCAACGACGGGUAGCUGGUCUGAGAGGAUGAUCAGCCACACUGGCACUGAGAGUACGGGCCAGACUCCGUACGGGAGGCAGCAGUGAGGAAUUAUUGCGCAAGUGGGACGAAAGCCUGACGCAGCGACGCCGCGUGGGGGAUGAAGGUUUUCGAAUUGUAAACCCCUUUCAGGAGGAAAGAGAAGGUGGGUUACCACCUAGACGGUACCUCCAGAAGAAGCCACGGCUAACUUCGUG